rnacentral:rRNA from 1 species
GACGAACGCUGGCGGCGUGCUUAACACAUGCAAGUCGAACGAAGUGGCGAACGGGUGAGUAACGCGUAAUCAACCUGCCCUUCAGCGGGGGACCACAGUUGGAAACGACUGUUAAUCCCGCAUACUGAAGGAGGGGAUUGCGUCUGAUUAGCUAGUUGGAGGGGUAACGGCCCACCAAGGCGAUGAUCAGGAGCCGGUCUGAGAGGAUGGACGGCCAGAUUGGGACGGAGACACGGCACAGACUCCUACGGGAGGCAGCAGUGGGGAAUCUUCCGCAAGGGACGAAAGUCUGACGGAGAAACGCCGAGUGAGUGAUGACGGCCUUCGGGUUGUAAAGCUCUGUUAAUCGGGACGCGGUACCGGAAUAGAAAGCAACGGCUAACUACGUGCCAGCAGCCGCGGUAAUUC